CCUACGGGUGGCAGCAGUGGGGGAUAUUGCACAAUGGGGGAAACCCUGAUGCAGCGACGCCGCGUGAGUGAAGAAGUAUUUCGGUAUGUAAAGCUCUAUCAGCAGGGAAGUAAAUGACAGUACCUGACCAAGAAGCCCCGGCUAACUACGUGCCAGCAGCCGCGGUAAUACGGAGGGGGCAAGCGUUAUCCGGAUUUACUGGGUGUAAAGGGAGCGUAGACGGUUUUGUAAGUCUGUGGUGAAAGCCCGGGGCCCAACCGCGGGAUUGCAGGGGAAACGGUGUAACUGGAGUACAGGAGGGGCAGGCGAAAUUCGUGGGGUAGCGGGGAAAGGCGUAGAUAUCAGGAGGAACCCAGACGGGGAGGGCGGCCUGCUGGACUGUAACGGACGUUGAGGCUCGAAAGUGGGGGGAGAAAACAGGAUUAGAUACCCCUGUAGUC
rnacentral:rRNA from 1 species